CCGUCUUUAGCUCAGUUGGAAGAGCAUCAGACUGUAAUUGUAACCUGCAUUGGUCAUCUGGGUGUCGCCUGUUCGAACCAGGCAAGACGGA